CACCAAACCAAUCCAAUCCAAUCCUUUUAUUUAUCUAUGCAAAUUACUCAAAUAUCCGAAUAGAAUAGAAAAACAAUUAAGGGAAGGGAAGGCUUUUCUUUGACGACCAAUCUCCGAAUUCGAUCUUCCUCCCCAAUCGGAAUCACAUCCUCUCUCCCUCGUUUAACUUUCCGGUGACUAACCAGAGAGGUACAGUUUUGUGCUGUGUGUUCAUGGACGAGGUGAUGACGGUUGGGGAUGCAGCCUCAUCUUCCAUUAAAACCUCGCCGGCUCCUUUCCUCGCUUCCAAUCUCCCCCUCCUCUCCGCCUUCCUCGCUGGCGCCAUCGCCCAGUUUCUCAAACUCUUUACCACCUGGUAUAAGGAAAGAAAAUGGGAAUCUAAACGGAUGCUUGAUUCUGGCGGAAUGCCUUCAUCUCACUCUGCAACUGUGUCCGCUUUGGCCGUUGCUAUUGCCUUCCAGGAAGGAUCCGGAGGACCUGCUUUUGCCAUCGCCCUGGUCUUUGCAUGUGUUGUAAUGUAUGAUGCUACUGGUGUCAGACUUCAUGCUGGUCGUCAAGCCGAGUUGCUGAACCAAAUAGUUUGCGAGUUUCCUCCUGAACAUCCUUUGUCCAGUAUUAGACCAUUGCGAGAUUCACUUGGCCACACUCCACUUCAGGUCUGCCCUUCAGUGGCUAUCAUUGAUAGAAGCUAUCAUUGAGCCAAUAUCAAUGAUAGCAACUUUUAGCAACUUAUAGCAACUAUCAAUUGUUAUUAUCGAUAUCUGCUUCAAUGGCAACUUUCAGUUUGAGAAGAUCGAGAAGUAACACUCGUAAUAGUGGAAAAUAGAAAGUUAUCACUAAUAGCGACUACGGUGAUAGCAGCUAAUAGUAGCUAUUAGUGAUAGCUGCUACCACCGAUAGUUGCUAUUACUGAUAGCUUUUAAUUUGAGAAAUUCGGGAAGAAACGCCCAAAAUGGUGGCAGCAUGUGGGUUAUUUUAGUCUUUUACUAAUUCUUUUGUUAUAUAUGCAAUUAUUUUAUUAUUUUCGGCUUAAAUGCUAUUUAUGAAAGUGGUCCUCAUAUUUAUGUGUGGAUGUGGAUGACAUAUGAUAUUAAAAGCUUAGCCUUGCUAAUCGGUGUUCUGUGAAUCGUCAAUAUUCUGGAGAAAAGAACUAGACUCUUUUGCUGUGAUGGAAGACCAUGAAAGGUUAUUGCAGGUGCUGUGUUGGGAUGUGUAGUGGCUUUUUUGAUAAGAAAUCAAAAUUAAAGCGUGGAAUUUGUACAUCAGGAUUGAAUUCGACAUACCGUUGGUUGGAAGCACUCGAACCUUAGAAAAAGUGUAGUGAAAGAACGGGUGGUGCUGCUAAGGUGUUGUGUAAUCAACACUCAGAUGAAUGCAGAAAUGAUAUAUUCUUUGGUGAUAAAAGCCUCUCGAUCAUCCCAUUCACAUUGAA